rnacentral:tRNA from 2 species
CGCGGAUUGAUGCAAAGGUAGCAUAUCGGUUUCCUAGGCCGACUAUGGUGGUUCAAGUCCGCCGUCCGCAA